rnacentral:rRNA from 1 species
UACGGAGGGUGCGAGCGUUGUCCGGAAUCACUGGGCGUAAAGGGCGCGUAGGCGGCGCGAGGAGUCGGGGGUGAAAGUCCGGGGCUCAACUCCGGAUCUGCGGUGGGUACGGGCAGACUAGAGUGAUGUAGGGGAGACUGGAAUUCCUGGUGUAGCGGUGAAAUGCGCAGAUAUCAGGAGGAACACCGAUGGCGAAGGCAGGUCUCUGGGCAUUAACUGACGCUGAGGAGCGAAAGCAUGGGGAGCGAACAGG